rnacentral:lncRNA from 1 species
UGAGUGCUGUAUUCCCUAGCCAUGGGAGUAAUCAACAGCAAGCCAACUGUGCUGGACCGCAUGAUCAGGAACUUUGCCACUGCCCUAUCCUGAUCCUCCUGCCACACCUGCUGUGUACCCUUCCUCGCAUCUUGGCAAGAGACUCCUUGGUGCCACGGCUGAGCAAGGGACGCUGCGAUGGCACUGACUCUGCGGUUCCCUGUUCUCCUAACUGCCAUACACAACUUUCCUCCUGAGCCUAUAGCAGACUCAGAUGAGGAAGUCUCCUCACAGGUCCCUGACUUGGCUCUCUAGCAGCUGCUGUGAUGCGGCCAGUAUAUGUGCCCUUCACUCUGAGUGAUCCAUAUAAUUAGAGAACACAGAACUCCCUUAUUUGGAACAGCUUUGGGCUCUGCUUACUUUGUUUAAGCUUCCACGAGGUGCUCAAGAUUG